CCUUCGAUAGCUCAGUUGGUAGAGGCGGAGGACUGUAGGUUGAUAAUUACAGGGAUCCUUAGGUCACUGGUUCAAUUCUGGCUCAAAGGA
rnacentral:tRNA from 1 species